rnacentral:rRNA from 1 species
AUUGAACGCUGGCGGCAGGCCUAACACAUGCAAGUCGAGCGGAUGAAGGGAGCUUGCUCCUGGAUUCAGCGGCGGACGGGUGAGUAAUGCCUAGGAAUCUGCCUGGUAGUGGGGGAUAACGUCCGGAAACGGGCGCUAAUACCGCAUACGUCCUGAGGGAGAAAGUGGGGGAUCUUCGGACCUCACGCUAUCAGAUGAGCCUAGGUCGGAUUAGCUAGUUGGUGGGGUAAAGGCCUACCAAGGCGACGAUCCGUAACUGGUCUGAGAGGAUGAUCAGUCACGCUGGAACUGAGACACGGUCCAGACUCCUACGGGAGGCAGCAGUGGGGAAUAUUGGACAAUGGGCGAAAGCCUGAUCCAGCCAUGCCGCGUGUGUGAAGAAGGUCUUCGGAUUGUAAAGCACUUUAAGUUGGGAGGAAGGGCAGUAAGUUAAUACCUUGCUGUUUUGACGUUACCAACAGAAUGAGCACCGGCUAACUUCGUG